CGUCCUGCAGGAAGAAGACGGGUUACCUCAGAAGCCCACCCUGGCCGUGGAUGUGCUCGAGUGUCACCACCUUGGCAGACAAGGUCACUGUGAGGACAAACCGAAGCAGCACGUGCCAAGUGGGGUGUUCUACGGCUGCUGGCCCCACCAUGAGGGUUCACUUCAUGUCCGCCUGGCCAGGACAUGGCACCCAGAUGUUGGCCAAAGGUUAUUUUAUAUUUUUGAGAUGGGGUCUUGCUGUGUGGUCCAGGCUGGUUUUGAACUCUGGGGUUCAAGAGCUCUUCCUGCUCAGCCUCCCAGGUAGCGGGCACGACAGGCUCAUGCCAACAUGCUCGGCUCUAAUGUCAGGUAGCGGGCACGACAGGCUCAUGCCAACAUGCUCGGCUCUAAUGUCAGGUAGCAGGCACGACAGGCUCAUGCCAACAUGCUUGGCUCUAAUGUCAGGUAGCGGGCACGACAGGCUCAUGCCAACAUGCUCGGCUCUAAUGUCAGGUAGCGGGCAUGACAGGCUCAUGCCAACAUGCUCGGCUCUAAUGUCAGUUCAAGUGUUGCUGUGAAGGUGCUCUCUAAAUGAAAUUCAACCCGAAAUCACUAGACUCUGAGAAAAGUAAUUACGAGCUCUGUAAUGCAGGGAGACCCCACCCAGCCAGGUCUUGGAAGGAAUCAGACGGGGGUGGGUCCCUGAGGAAGAGGGAGUGCCGCCCACAGACCAUCUUUGGACUGGAGCUACAGCGCCAGCUCCUCCCUGAGCCUCUCGCCCUGCAGACUUCAGACUGGCCAGACCACAGUUUUGAGCCAGUUCCUUAAAAUCUCUCCCCUUCUCUCUCACAUCUGAUUGCUUCUGCUUCUUUGGGGAACACAGACUAUUUCUCUGGUUAAUACACCAUCCUCUUUGGUUCACCUUCUGAAACAGGUGUGCAGAUGGGCAUGGCUGGGGUGCAGGGACAGAUGCACGGUGGGCAGGUGCCUUGAGAGCUAUGGAAACAUGGGAAAGAGGGGGUGCAUUUCAAUAGAGAAGUCGCAGGUGAAGAGGAAGUUGACUCACGUCCAUUGAAUCAAGAAAAGUGCCCUAGGGUGCACAGGCGUUGGGGAGCUCUGGGGAGGCUGGGGAUGGACCCUAGCUGCCAGGGGAGGUGAGAACUCUGGCUUUGGCAUUCAGGCCAGGGUGGAAUGCAAAGCAGGUACGUCUGCAGGGAACCGGCAGUGGCUGGAAGAAAAGAGCAGGAGAGAGAGCCCAGGUCCCAGGAAUCCUCCUCAGAGCAGCAGAAGAUCCUCUCCCCAGGGAGGUCAUCUUACAAAUGCAAAGAUCUCUCAAAGGAAUCCACAGUCUCUGUGUGCAGGGGGGACGGUGUGCUGCUCGGCCUCUCUCCAACAGAGCCUCUGUGCCCUUCUCAGGGCUGCACAGGGUGUGAAAAGCCCUUCUCCACCAGUUCCUCCACCCACGUGUGUCCUCGCUUUCCGCCAACCCCAGCUCCGCUGGCUUCCUAUUCCAGCAGAAGGACUCAGGAUGUUUUGUUCCUUGUUAUUAUUAGAAAAUAUAAUAAAUUGAAAAAGAAGAUAAAAUAUAAUUUGCUGGCUCAGUUGAUCACGGAAUCUCACCCCAUUUUCCACAUCCAGCCAAUUCUGAUCUUUCAUGAUCAGAUCCACUUUUUUGGGAAAAGGAGAGCUCGUGGUUGAUUAGAAGGUGAUGAGCAUCAUGGGACGCUCAGGUCCCCAGAUCCCAUAAACCCAGCAAUGGCUCACCAGGCUUCCGUGCUGAGACCUGUCCAGGGCUGAAGUUGGCAGGCGUCACGUGCCCUACGUCUCAACCACGACUCAGGUGGGGCCCCAGGACCCAGCCCUGCAACGCUCCCUGCCCACAUAGUGUUUUGAGUCAGUUCACGCGUUUCUUGUUUGCUUCAAGUUCUGCUCCCCUGCCCACGUCGCCAUGGCUUUCACUGUCUGGAUCUGCACAUUCUAUGGGAGGAGGCCAGGCCAAACGGAUGGACCUGGUUCCCAUGCACUCAUACUGUCAGAUACCAGCAGACGUCAGCUGAUGGCCAGUGACCAAGAGUAGGCCUUGUGUUGGAGCCAUGGACAGCUCCCUCUGCGAAAGGUCUCAUAUAAGACAGGAAAUGUGGGCAGGGUUCUCUUCCUGAGGGCAAGGCCGGGGCACCCACACCCCCUUGCGGCUCACUAUGCCAACAAUGAAGCCUUGUUAUCUACAAGUGACAUCUGCAAAGUUUACAGUUGGAGACAAAAUCGAACUUCUCUGCCAUCUUUCAGAUGAAAUGCACUCAAGAUGAUGGUGAUGGGAGGGGACAGAAGGGCCCAGCUUUGUGACAUUUCUGUUUUUCUCUAACUCAUGAGUCACUCAGUGGUUAAUUACACAUGGAAAUAGCUGUGUCUACACUCCACAGCUCCAGUCUUCCCCUGUGUCCUUAUGGGGCCGUCCUUCUGUGUCUGUGUCCUGAUCUCUUCUGCUUCUAAGGACACAGUCCUGUGGGAUUAGGGCCACCUAAACAGCCUUGUUUUAACUUAUCACCUCUGGAAAGUCCCUGUCUCCAAAUGAGGUCAUAUCUGAGGUCCCCGGGGGUCAGGACUCCAACAGAUGAAUUUAGGGGGACAACACUCACCCCAGGACAAUUGCAUUUUUCAGUCUGAACUACCUGCCCUCAAUUCAUGCUGUGGUUUUUGAAAAGUCACUUGGAUGCCUCUGUCUUGUAUGUUGGAAAUGCUCUCAUCUUGGCUGCAGGUCUCAACGGAUCCCCCUGAGCUGGACCCUCACGCAGGCCUCUCUGCUCCCCAUCCUCCUGCCCAGGUGGCUGGCAACUGCUGUGGUCAGGAGUGGUCCCCAUCAUGAUGGCCUUGCACACAGCUUCUCACCUUCUCCAGAGCAGUGGGUGGACAUCAGAGUGUGACUUUGUGGUUGCCAGUCAAAGAGCCCCAGGACCGCCCUGUGUAAAGGCUGGGUGGCCAUACGGGUGCAGGGUGACUGCUGUAUUAGCUGCCAAGUGUGAGCAUCACGGCUGCAAACUUGGAGGGUCUGGAGAGCUGCAGUUCUUGCUGCUUGUAUCACGCAUGCCCAGUGUAGGUCCCGAGGCUGACACACACAGAGUUACCGCCAUCCACCUGUCCACAGGCGAGCCAGCCUUCAGACACAGCAUGGAACCAAUUUCCCACUGCUUAAGACAUCUGUGACAUGUGCAGACACCCAAGGCCUGUAUUUGAUUGAAGAAGCCUUACGAGUCUAAUAAGGACUUUCAGCCUUCUAGAAAGACUCAGCCGGCUAGUUCUCUGGCAUCAGGGCCCAGGUCACAUGUCACAUUUGCCAGGUGUCUCAUGGCUCCCUGAGUGGGGGUGGGGAGCUUGAAUGACAGGCCCGUCAGACACCCCAGAGCACCCAGCCCAGAGCUGGCUUCUCUUCCUUUCAUUGCAAUUUUUGACAUUGUAAUUUUUCCUAAGAGAAACUCAGGCGUAAAAGCUGGACUGGUUACACUGGUGACAGGUCCCUGAUAUAUCAAUUGUGAUGUGAAAAAUGUGACACCCACGAGCUCAUCUUCUGCAGUCUUUGCUGGGUCAUUGCUGAUUGCCUGGUGGCUCCUGGGUGGCAGUGAGCUCUUCUGGGCAGGUGGUGAAGGCUGUGGGCCGCAGGGCAGGCAAGGCUCCUGAGUCUAGAUGGCCUGUGAGGGUGAGAGCAUCUCUGCUCCUGCGAUUCCGACGGUGACCCACUGGACCAGUCGGUUGGAGUGGAGACGAGCACUUUCUUAAUGCUGCGGCAUUUCUGGCCUGCUGCCUUGUCUGUCAUCUUGGCUGUCAUGCGGGGCAGGGGUUUGUACUGGGUCAUCGCUAAGGUCCCCAUGGACCAGCAUCUUGUAGCUCCGAGGUGGCCCCCAGACCCAGGGAUGUCGACAUUAGCAGAGGGUGCUGUCUGCACCCACCCGUCGCAUGUGUCUGUGACCGUUUGCUGUGACGGUUGUUGAAGGAGUGUCCCCUCCACCUGGAGGCGGGAGAACUCGAAGCUCAGCUCUCUCAGGGUGCCUCCCUCCCCUGUUCUUUCUUUCUAGCUCUAGGGCUGGAAGGCAGGUCUCCCGCAUGCAGGGUGAGCCCUCUGCUGCUGAGCUGGGCCUCCUCAGCCCCAGGUUUCUUAGAGUUCUGUUAGUUAUGCACAGGUUCUCUUUAAAGUAUUUCCAACAGCUUCUCCAGUAGAAUGGCCGUUUUCAUAGCUCUGACUUGGAAUGAGCCUCCGUGGGAAGAGGUACAGAAGAAGUUCCCUGGGGGUAUUGAGGCUAGAUAAAAUCUGUCCAUGGAAAGGGCCUCGCAUGGAUCUGAAAAGCUGUGGACUGAGUCGACUGUGAACAGAGCUGUGCUCAGUCCGUGGUUUCCGCAUUGGUGUGGAAACCCAGGCAGAGAAUGAAGUAGUGCAAUCCUUCAGGGCGACCUCCUGGAGGCAGCGGAUGGGCACCUGGGUGAUUUCCUAGGCCCUUCCCCAGCCUCUCAGUUCUGAAAGUGCCAGGAAGCCCCAGACCACACAAAAGGCUUUUCUAGACCUUUCCCCUGCCCACCCCCUCUAGGUCUUCUACCAGUCUCCUUGAAACCGCCUGACUCCGCCCCCACAUGUGCCCGCCUUGAGGGUGGGCGGCCUCCCCCCUUUCUCCCCUCCUCUCUUCUUCUGCCCGUUCCUCCACUCUCCUAGCUGACACCUGGGGGAAGACAGGGAAAAGCCCCUGGGAGGGUGGUUUCAGGCCUCAGCACCUUGCCAUGGCUUCGCAGUGUGUCACUAUGGUUACACUGAGCCAAGUCCCAGAAUUCCCUGUCCAGCAUGUGUCUGGCUGCAGCAGGUCCCCGGGGACACUCUCGUGAGAGUUGGGCAGUGGCAGUCAUUUUGAGCAUCACACACAGCUUUCCCAAUUGUCCAAUCAAAUGCUCACCCUCAAGCUGUUGGGAGGAGAUGCGGUGACACCCUAACCAGCUGGAUUUAAGUGGGCGGAGGGGCCAUUAUCCCACCUGUGCCCCACUUACUCAGUUGGAAGGCAUUUUAAAAAGGCUUAGUCCUUCCUCAAACACAGAAACUCCACAGAGCAGCUGUGACUGCCACUGCUGGCCCACCCUGGGUGCUGCUGGCUGUCACCCGUGGGCCUUGCCCUCCCAGCUCGGUGAUCUUUUCUCCUGGGUGUAGUGUGCAUCUCAUAUUAUAUAAGCAUUUGUAGUAUACAUACCUGUAUGUUACGUGUAUUUGUAGCAAAUCUACGUAUAAUAUAGAAUCACGGUCCUUCUAUUCCAAUUAAACUUUUUGUAAGUUUGGUAUCAGGAACUGGGGUGGGGGGCUAUCCUAACAAGUACCUAGAAUGUGGGGGCAACUUGGGGCUGGGCAGCAGGGCAGAGGCUGGGAGGAUCUGAGUUGCCCGCUGCUGUGUCCCUGUGAGUGGAAGGCCCACAGAAGCAGGCUGUGAAAGGUGCCCCGCGGAGAACCCUAUGAGGAGUGAGACUGUGGGCAGGAACCUGAGGAGGGGCUCCCAUGAGGCAGGGCAAGAAGUUCAAUGGGAUCAGCCACAGGGGUCGGAACUUAGGGGGAUGAGGUUGGUUCUGUAGAUGAGGGUGUUUGUGAGUUAAAGUGAUCACCUGGCUUCUUCUUGUUUUUUGUUGUAAAACAAGGAGGAGGGGGACAAAUUGAAGAACCAAGAAACAAAAAGAAACCAGUACCUGCUGUUUCUAAAAUCCUUAGCCUUGACAGGUGAGGCUAAGGACACUGCACUUAAGAGAUGUCCAGCUGAGCAGGAGGACAAGCCUGCAGCAGCCCUCCAGCUUUGUGGAGUGACUUCUGCCAACAAGUUAUUGAGCACCUGACUUGGAUGGGACCCUGGUCCUGGCCACACCUCAGUUUCAGCCACGUGAGAUACCAAGCAGAGGACCCAGUGAAACUGUACUCUGAUCCAGACCCGUGAAAACUCUGAGAAAUGAAAGUCUUUCAUUUUAGCCAUUACAUUUGUGACAGUUUGUUGCAGAGAAAUAGAAAACAACUAUUGCACCUUAUGAUAUCACAGGUUUUAUACACUGAGCAAAGAAUAAAUAAGCCAAAGCUUAA